AUUAAGAAAAGGAUUAGCAAAACCCUAAUUAGAUAAUUAUGAGUUAAUUGAGGAAUUAUAUUAUUAUAUAAUUCAAUAUAUGUGAAAUUAUAUGAAAUUUAACAUGUUAAAGACCCCGUUGGUGAGCCAGGGGCAUUUUGGUAAUUAUGACCCGAGAAGGGUAAAUUGUUGAGAUUAAUUUAAUUACGUGCUUAAUAUAAUUAUAUUAUUAUAUAGUAUGCCUGUGUUGUCUUUUCAGGUGUGUUCUGACAGGUUGGCGCGGUAUAGUCACACCCGGGAAUUUCGGGCCGAACCGGGUUCGAGCCCGAAAUGUAAAUCGAAUUGAUUAUUUGGCAUUUUAUUUGAUAUGUGAUAAUCUGAAAUUUAAUUUGCAAUAUUUGGGUGUGAAAUGGCAUUUAUGCCCUUGAAAAUGAAUAUGUGUGUGUUAAGCCUUAGGGGCAAAAUGGUCUUUUGACCUUUAUUGAUUUACUUUGAUAAAAAUGGUAUUUUGAGGGAAAACAAAUUAAUUUUCUGGUGAUUGUUUCCUCCUUGGAUGAACCCUUCCCCUCUCUCAAACCCUCUCUUAUUUUCUCUUUGAUUUGGUGAGAAAUUGGUGGGAUUUGAAGCUUAAUCUUGGUGGAUCUUUGUGCUAGCAUUUGAAUUGAAUUUUGAGGAUUACCGGCACCUGAUCAGGAGCACCCGGGGAUUUGGAAUCUCCUUCUAUAGCUGGACAACAGGAAAGGGUAAGGCAUUAGCUGAUCUGCCAUGAGUUUCAGGAGCAGACGAAGAAUGUACAUGUUCACGCCACUUCAGACCAAGCGGGUUAUGGGUCUAACAGUGUUGACUUUUGUAUUCUGUUUUGCCGCUUAGGCCGGCUAGUAAGAAAGAACUUGUAAUAAGUUGUAAAUAUUUUUGGGAUCCCAACUAUUUUGAAAAGUUUAAAUAUAUUACAAGUUUUAUUUUCAGUCUGUUUAAUAUAAAAGUUUAAAUUCUGCGCUAUUUUAAUUAGUAAUCCCGA